ensembl:snRNA U1 U1 spliceosomal RNA
UUUCUUACCUGGCAGGGGCGAUACUUGAUACUGUGAUCAAGAAGGCGGUUCACCCAUGGCGAGGCUCAGCCAUUGCACUCCGGCUGUGCUGACCCCUGCGAAUUCCCCGAAAGUUGGAAUCUCGACUGCAUAAUUUUUGGUAGUGGGGGACUGUGUUUGCCCUCA